UUUUUUAUAAAAAUAAUUUAUUUAUUUAGGGUUUUAGUAUUAAGUAAAAAAUAAUUUAUAGAUUUAUAGUUUAAUAGAAUUGUGAAAGAAUUAAUUAAAUUUUUAAAAAAAUAUUUUUAGUCCCUUUUGUACCAGGGUGGAUUAAAAUUUUUAAUUUUUUUUUAAUUCCUCAAAAUUUAUAGAGUUAAUUUUAUUAUUAAUUUAUUGUUUUAUAAAUAUUAAAAAAAUAAUAUUAGUUUUGAAAUUUAAUUCGUUAUAUUAUAUUUAGUUAUUUAAAAUUUAAAUUUAAUUUAAAAUUUUAAAAGUUAUUUUUAUUUUUUAUAUUAAUAUUUUAAAUUUAAAUUAUUUUAGGGAUAAGCUUGAAAUUUUUAUAUAAUUAUUUAUUUAUUUUAAUAAUUUAUAGGAAUAGAAAUUUUUAUUUUAAGUUUGUAAAAAUUUAUUAUUUAUUUAUUUUUAAUUUAUUAUAAAUUAAUUUAUUUUCUUUAUUAAAUUUUAUUAAUUAAUAUUUAAUUUUUAGUAAUAAUGAUUAAAUUAGUAUAAUUUAAAUUUAUAAAUUAUGAAUUCGGCAAAAAUUAUUUUCAUCUGUUUAACAAAAACAUUGUAUUAAGUUUAAUUUAAUAUAGGAUCUGCUCAAUGAUUUAUUAAAUAGCUGCAGUAUUUUGACUGUGCAAAGGUAGCAUAAUAAUUAGUCUUUUAAUUGAGGACUUGUAUGAAAGAUUUGAUGAGAAAUAAGCUUUAUUAUUUAUAUAGUUAAAAUUUUAUUUUUAAGUAAAAAAGCUUAAAUUAUUUAAAGGGACGAUAAGACCCUAUAAAACUUUAUAAAUAUUAACUUUAAUUUUUUUGGAUUUAUAAAUAUUUUAAUUUUAUUAUUUAUUUUAUUGGGGUGAUAAAAAAAAUUAAUAAACUUUUUUUAAAAUUUUACAUUAUUUAAUGAAUAUUUGAAUUAAAAUUUUUAAUUAUAGGAAAAAGUUACUUUAGGGAUAACAGCGUAAUUAAUUUUUUAAGUUCAAAUUUAAAAAUUAGUUUGCGACCUCGAUUUUGAAUUUAGAUUAAUCUUAGGUGCAAAAUUUUAAGUAUUAGGUCUG
rnacentral:rRNA from 1 species